GUCAAUUACAAACGCAGACACAAGUGCUCUGGAAAAAUCGACACAAGCUGUCUACGAGAGCUUGCUGGGCUCCUUGGAUUUUCCAUGGUAUUGAAAAAUUAUUGACUGUAUACUGAAACUAACAACAAUAACAACAAAAGAUGGAGAACUUAAAAAGAGGAAAAACAGAAUGCAGCAAAUCUUUGAUUUUAAAUUGAAAAGCUUUGUGUUUUAUGCAGGAAGAAUAUUUAUUGUCUGGUUUUGAAUUUUCCCUGCUUCUGCCCAGAUAAUCUCUGAACUAUUAAGCUGAGCUCAGAGGAGAGGAGGCCAGACAGAUAAGCUUGGUUUGAGUUGGGCCUACAAACAUUAGGCGGAGAGAGAACCCAAAUUGGAGAUCUCUAUUGGGUCCCUCCCUUUGAAACUCGGGCGACCCCAUGGAAAAAGGUGGAUAAGACAUUGAUAAAAACCCAUACCAGAAGUCUUGAUAUCCAGAAACUGAAGAGACUAGCUCUGGGAUUCAUAAGCCUGAAGAAUCAGAAGACAGAAUUAAGAGUGACCACAGAUUAUAAAUAAUGAACUGGGAAACAGAGAAGCAGAGAACAGGAGGACUGGUCUCUGUAUACAAAUGCUACCAAUUUGUGGCUAACACUUAGUCCAUUUUAU